rnacentral:misc_RNA from 1 species
CAGCAGUUUGUGUGUGAGACUUGCGCAGGAAUGUUCACUCUCGUUUUUUCGUGUCAGUGAACUCGAUCGUUAAAAAUAUGGCGAUGAAUGUGAGCGUGAGCACACCGCGGUCCUGUAGUAGAAAUAGAGAUCUGGAUCGCAGAAAUUAUAAAUUUUCUCCAAAUACAAACAUUAUUAUUUUAUCAAUUCAUCUAUCAGUUGUUUUUAUUAUUUUAUCAGCAGUUGAAGGAAGUACUGGUACACCUUUAUCACAGUGGUACAUAAGUGAUGUUGGUUACGGGAAUUCAAAUGACGACAGUAAAACUAUUUCAUUGGAAAGGAUUUACUUAAUUACUCAGCAAAAUCAAGACAAAUCUGUGCUACCAAUCUCCUUGCUGCCGGUUACCGAGGGGAUGUCCUCAUCCCCUAAGCAUAGGAUUCGGCAGUCCUCAACGGGACUGGAUGAUGCUGGGAUGGACCUACAAGCAAGUCAGCUCAGUACCCGUGCUGGUCAGGAGAUUAGCUCGACGGCUGCUGUAUCAUGGACAAACUGGAAAUUGCCAUUUCCUGUGAUAGUCUGUGCAAUUGCUGGCGCUAUUCUCUUAACUUUCCUGAUCCUCUUAUGGCUCCGCAAGCAAAUGUCGAGUGAAAAGAAGUCUAGUGAUGGAGAUAGACGUGAGUUGGUGGAAAAAGGCGCUGUUGAUGGGUCCUCGUCCUCGUCGUCACUGGAUAAGCCGGGUAAGAGUACCCAAGAAUGGUCAAUGGAAGCCAAAUGGGUUCAUCAGCCAGCUGCUAAGCCAUCGUCAGUUUCCGUGCAAACAGUUCCUGUUGCUAGAGCUGUCGGCUUGUCCACUGGCGGCUUAGUUUGCAAUUUACCUCAAGUACUGACUGUCGCGACUCCUGAGAGACGUCCUGAACCCAUUCGCAUAAAGGCUAAAGGAUCUCUUCUCGAACGACGAGGCUCAAGUGCUAGUUUGACAAUCGAGCUGGCCCCUGCGCCCGGCAGUCCACCCCAUGUCGUCACUCCAACACGCGAAUGCACCUCUGAGGAAUUUCUUCUCAGCGCUGGAAACGUUCUAUCCCGCAUGCAGUUGAGAAAAGUCAUACAAGAUCCAUCUGCGCUACAUAAAAAAUUUUGGGAGGUCCCGUUAAAUUUACCAGAGAAAGUUGAUAUUUUUGGAGCUGGCGUAAAGAAUAGAUAUUCUGGAGUUCUGCCAAACCCUCAAUCUAGGGUUGUCUUGAGGGGAUCUGAUGAUCCAGUCGCUAGUUACAUCAAUGCUAAUUACAUUCGGGGAUACGAUGGUGAAAGUAAUCGUUACAUAGCAACCCAAGGACCACUUGCCAGCACAGUGGCAGAUUUUUGGCGAAUGGUGUGGAUGGACAAAGUAUCGGGAGUUGUAAUGAUGACGCGGUUGUUUGAAGCAGCUAAGGCCAAGUGUGACGUUUAUUUCCCACUGGAGAACAACAGCCGAAUUCAGGCUGGCCCAUUUACAAUUACCGUCACGUCUAUCACGAACAGAGACGGGUACAUGAUACGUGAUAUCGAGCUGAGACACGAGAAUGAAAGAAGGAAUGUUACGCACUAUUGGUAUGACUCAUGGCCUGAUCAUGCAGUACCUCAAGCCGCGGACUCACUAGUCAGUUUGGCGGCCGAAAUAAAUACCUUGCCCGGGCCUGUGGUGGUGCACUGUAGUGCAGGGAUAGGCAGAACUGGGUGUUUCAUUGCUCUUGCCACUGGGAUGAUUCAACUCGCCCGAGAUGGCAAUGUUGAUGUUCUAGGAAUUCUCUGUCAAAUGAGGUACGACAGAGGAGGAAUGAUUCAGACAGCUGAGCAAUACGAGUUUGUACACAAAGCUCUCUGUCUGUUUGAGCAGACGCUGGAUGGCAAAGUGCCAACAACCGGCGACUGAAGUGUCUAGCCAGCUAGACAUUUACAAAUAAAAUAAUAUUAAAUAAUCAAGUUGAAGUGGCGAGUGACCUGAUUAUCAUUUAAUUGCUCGCGGAUUACUGAGUAUCUACUCACUGGAUGAAAUGAAAAUGUCACAACUCUUCUUCUUCUUCUUGAUUUUAAUAGCAAUGUACAACAUUGAUAACAAAAUCAAUAUCUAUCGUCGUCUUAAUGAUGUAUAACUUCGUUAAAAUUAAUCAGACGAUUAUGAAUCUCGUCACUUGUUAAGCUGCCAUUACUAUACUGCCACUAACAAAAAAUAUACACAACUUUAUUGUAAAAUAUACAUUUUACUAUUGACGAUCAUAAAUACGAUUUAAAAAAAAAUGGCUCAAGUAAUCGAGAUUAUUAUAUGAAAACAAGAGACACGACUAGAUGGUAUUUUAAUUGUAUGGUAUGACUUCCUUAAAUCUAUGAUCCGAUACUCGACAAUAUGAUAUGAAUAUAUUAUAUAUAAUAUAUAUAUUUAUUUUUAAUUAUUUAAUUAGGUCAUUGCUGGCAACAAUGGAUUAUUUGUAAUUAAAAUUUUUUUUUUAACUAUUCCUAAUCGUGGAUCAUUAAUUAUUUAUACUUUAAAUGAGAAUCUUUUAGCAUUAAAUAAUUUAAAAAUUCCGACGUGAAAACAAUGGUUUUCUUCACAAUUAUUUAUAUUUAUUUUGAAUUUAUUUAUUAACAAAGACUGAAUGCUACUAGUACAAUGUGUUUCAUUAAUAAAUUGUUAAAAAAAAAAAAAAAAAGAUAUAAAGAUAAGUUAGAUUGUGCAA